rnacentral:tRNA from 1 species
GUAUGGGUGGCUUAGUUGGUUAAAGCGCCUGCCUAGUAAGCAGGAGAUCGUGGGUUCGAAUGUUGUUUCAAAUA